UGACGCUGAGGUCCGAAAGCGUGGGGAGCAAACAGGACUAGAUACCCUGGUAGUCCACGCCGUAAACUAUGGACACUAGGUAUGGGGAGUAUCGACCCUCUCUGUGCCGAAGCUAACGCUUUAGGUGUCCCGCCUGGGGAGUACGGUCGCAAGACUAAAACUCAAAGGAAUUGACGGGGGCCCGCGCAGGCAGCGGAGCGUGUGGUUUAAUUCGAUGCAACACGAAGAACCUUACCAGGGCUUGACAUGUCGGAAGUAGGCAUCCGAAAGGAGGACGACCUGUUAAGUCAGGAGCCGACUCAGGUGCUGCAUGGUUGUCGUCAGCUCGUGCCGUGAGGUGUAGGGUUAAGUCCCAUAACGAGCGCAACCCUCGUUGCCAGUUAAUUUCUCUGGCG
rnacentral:rRNA from 1 species